CAAGAAAGCAUUGUGCAUGUGCUGAUAG
rnacentral:sRNA from 1 species